rnacentral:lncRNA from 1 species
AUUGUAAUAAAUCUAAGAUACAAUUUUGUACUUAAUAUAUUGAUAUGAUCAAUAAAAGAGCAAGUUUUUUUUCAUUCAAGUGUAAUGUGUCCUUGAAUCGUCUAUGAAAUUAGUUUCGAUAUAUAUUCUCAAGAUGUUGAGAAUUAGAUAUAUGUAUUUAAUUUUUAAAUACUCCCGAUCAUAGGAUUAUCAUGAGGACGGUGAAAGAUCCAGAUAGACUAGCGCACAAAUCACUUUCUUCGGGAU